rnacentral:rRNA from 1 species
UACGUAGGGGGCAAGCGUUGUCCGGAAUCAUUGGGCGUAAAGAGCGCGUAGGCGGCCCUGUAAGUCCGCUGUGAAAGUCAAGGGCUCAACCCUUGAAUGCCGGUGGAUACUGCAGGGCUAGAGUCCGGAAGAGGCGAGUGGAAUUCCUGGUGUAGCGGUGAAAUGCGCAGAUAUCAGGAGGAACACCGGUGGCGAAGGCGGAUCUCUGGGCCGAUACUGACGCUGAGGAGCGAAAGCGUGGGGAGCGAACAGG